CGGGCAAUGCGGGUGUGCGUUUCGUUCGUGAGCUGGACGCUUGUACAUGUGCGUCUCAUGGCAACUUUUCAACUGCAUUAACAACACGUCGUAUUAAAACUGCAAUGACGACCACAUCAACUGACCUGGUCGGUCAGGUCCGAGGACGCUGCAGUAACUGUGACUGCUCGGGAUAUCUGCGUGCCGCAGAUGCCUUUUCUUAUGACAAGUGCCCUCCUGGUUGGUGCCUGAUGUGUGGCCACCCGCCUGCGGACCACGGCGUUAUAGGCCCCUUGCAAGAUGGAGGAUUUUCUUCAACACAGGAGCGGGGCAGGCACUACUCAGGCCCUUUGCAAGAUGGAGGAUUUUCUUCAACACAGGAGCAUGGCAGGCAUUACUCA